rnacentral:lncRNA from 1 species
GCUAAAGGCAUAGUCAAGGUUAAUGCUCCUUUUUCUUUAUCAGACCUCUCCCAAAUCAGUGAGCAUUUAGGCUCUUUCAUCAAAUAUGAAAAACCCAGCCCAGUUCAUGGCUCAUUCCGCAGCAACCCUGAGACGCUUUACAGCCCUAGACCCUAAAAGGUCAAAAGGCCGUCUUAUUCUCAAUAUACAUUUUAUUACCCAAUCUGCUCCUGACAUUAAAUAAAACUACAAAAAUUAAAUUCCAGCCCUCAAACCCCACAACAGGACUUAAUUAACCUCACCUUCAAGGUGUACAAUAAUAGAGUAGAAGCAGCCAAGUAGCAAUGUAUUUCUGAGUUGCAAUUCCUUGCCUCCACUGUGAGACAAACCCCAGCCACAUCUCCAGCACACAAGAACUCCAAAUGCCUGAACCACAGCUCCCAGUGGUUCCUCCAGAACCUCCUCCCCCAGGAGCUUGCUACAAGUGCCGGAAAUCUGGCCACUGGGCCAAGGGAUGCCCACAGCCCAGGAUUCCUCCUAAGCCUUAUCCCAUCUGUGUGGGACCCCACUGAAAAUCAGACUGUUCAACUCACCUGGCAGCCACUCCCAGAGCCCCUGGAACUCUGGCCCAAGGCUCUCUGACUGACUCCUUCCCAGAUCUUCUCGACUUAGUGGCUGAAGACUGACACUGCCUGAUCACCUGGGAAGCCCCCUAGACCAUCACGGACACCAAGCUUUGAGUAACUCUCACAGUGGAAGAAUCUGCUUCAGGAACCAAACCUGUGAGGAUUGGCUGAAUCAUGGUCUCAGUCCUUAAUGGAAUGCCACUGUUUAUGGAAAAUAAUGUAAUUAAAGGGACAAGGACUUUAGAUACUUGAAGUCAUUGCCAAAUCUGUUUCCAAAGGAUUUUGGUAAUUUUCAAAACCCUUCUGCUGCUGAAAUAUACAUUAUUUAGAAACAAUAGAUUGGUGAAGAGGCUUGGAAGCAUCCAAGUAAACCCGUAGUGCCUGAGGGAGCUGAUAAUCCACUUUACAUCUUCAAAACUCCAAGAACUCAAAAGUAAUUUUCACGUUAAGAUUCACUUAUUUUAAAUAUCAUCUUAUGAGUUCAGCUUGAAUAAACCAUGACCAGUUUAAAGCUUCAUAUUUUUAUAAUUAGGGAUUUCUAAUUACAUUGUGAUCUAUAUUUUUACCAAUUAAUAUCUACAUAGAAACCUCCUUAAAUACAAUUUUAAAUAUUUUAUGGUCCUGAUUUUGCUAUAAUUAUUCCAAAUCACAAAUGUAUUUUAAAAUUCUGUCAAAUCAUUGUCUAUUCUAUAGAAAAUUCUUGUUUCAUCCCCCAAAAUAUCACUUCUUUCAAUUUUAACUAAAUUAAAUAUAAUUUCUGCUAUCAGAAACUACAAAUAUUUUGGAUCUAUAAUUUGUUUUAUUUAGUCAGUUAUGCUCAUUCAAGAAAAAAGCAGUAAUAUAAUGAAUGCAUCUUUUCCUUCACCAAAGACAUCAUAAAAUAAUUAAGUUAGUAGUUAAUUGAAUAAACAGCUCUGUUAGUUAUUUUAGGUAUAUAUUCAGCUUAUAGGUAAAUAUUAACUCAUAGUACUGGUUGUGGUAGCCUUGAAAAUAUACUCUUCAGAUUUCCUACAGCACAGUUCACUGACAGCUCCCACGACUACCCUUCCUGGAUCUACCAUGAUGGUUAUCCUAAAGUCAUACUUUCCUUAGUAGUUUUUGGCUGAUGACUGUGCAGGCCCAUUCCUAUAGGAUGUGGGAUUCCUGUAACAGAGGGCUUUGACUAGAGGACUCUUUAUUGGCCUAGCCAAUACUUUCUUAGUAUUGAGCUAUGGUCUGUCUUACUAACCUAGCCACCUUACCUCCCUGCUUCUUUUACACAUUUUGACCUCAGGGUAUAAAAUCUCUUCCUGACUACUGCUUGUUUGAUUUUACAGACAUUUGCUGUUUAUGUUAGUGCAUUAGGCAGUGAAGAACACUCAGUCCUGAUAGAUCAGGAAACUACCUAGAAAAUGUCCUUUGGGGAAAAAAGGCCAUACUUGCCAAAUCGAAAUAGACUAAAGUUAUAGGCAAAAUGAUUUCAUUUUUAUAGUUCAAAGCCUUAGAAGUUUCCCAGUGUAUUUUAAAAACUAAAGUAAUUAUUUUGUGUUAUUUAUGGUCCUUGAUUUUGUCUGCAUUUAUUCAUAGUGUUUCUUUAUAAGUUUUC